rnacentral:rRNA from 1 species
UACGUAGGGGGCAAGCGUUGUCCGGAUUUAUUGGGCGUAAAGAGCUCGUAGGCGGUUUGUUGCGUCGGCUGUGAAAUCCCGAGGCUCAACCUCGGGUCUGCAGUCGAUACGAGCAAACUAGAGUGUUGCAGGGGAGACUGGAAUUCCUGGUGUAGCGGUGAAAUGCGCAGAUAUCAGGAGGAACACCGGUGGCGAAGGCGGGUCUCUGGGCAACAACUGACGCUGGAGGAGCGAAAGCGUGGGGAGCGAACAGG